rnacentral:rRNA from 1 species
CCUACGGGUGGCUGCAGUGGGGAAUAUUGGACAAUGGGGGGAACCCUGAUCCAGCCAUGCCGCGUGUGUGAAGAAGGCCCUCGGGUUGUAAAGCACUUUCAGUGAGGAAGAACGCCUGGUGGUUAAUACCCAUCAGGAAAGACAUCACUCACAGAAGAAGCACCGGCUAACUCCGUGCCAGCAGCCGCGGUAAUACGGAGGGUGCGAGCGUUAAUUGGAAUUACUGGGCGUAAAGCGCGCGUAGGUGGCUUGAUAAGCCGGUUGUGAAAGCCCCGGGCUCAACCUGGGAACGGCAUCCGGAACUGUCAAGCUAGAGUGCAGGAGAGGAAGGUAGAAUUCCCGGUGUAGCGGUGAAAUGCGUAGAGAUCGGGAGGAAUACCAGUGGCGAAGGCGGCCUUCUGGACUGACACUGACACUGAGGUGCGAAAGCGUGGGUAGCAAACAGGAUUAGAUACCCGUGUAGUC